rnacentral:rRNA from 1 species
AGAGUUUGAUCCUGGCUCAGGAUGAAUGUUGGCGGCGCGUCUAAGGCAUGCAAGUCGAACGGAUCAUUAGUUGUAGCAAUAUGAUGAAUGAUUAGUGGCAAACGUGUGCGUAACACAUUGGUAACCUACCUCGAAGACGGGUAUAACCCCCCGAAAGGGGGACUAAUUCCCGAUAGACAUGGGGGGACAUAAGUCAUUCCCAUGUAAAUACUUCGGUGCUUCGAGAGGGGCCUAUGGUCUAUCAGCUUGUUGGUGAGGUAACGGCCCACCAAGGCUAUGACGGAUAGGGGGUGUGAGAGCACGACCCCCCUCACUGGGACUGAGACACUGCCCAGACACCUACGGGUGGCUGCAGUCGAGAAUCUUCCCCAAUGGCCGAAAGGCUGAGGGAGCGACGCCGCGUGCAGGAUGAAGGGCUUCGGCUCGUAAACUUUUUUUUAGGGACGAACGAUGACGGUACCUAAAGAAUAAGGGGUUGCUAACUCUGUGCCAGCAGCAGCGGUAAUACAGAGACCUCAAACAUUAUCCGGAUUUAUUGGGCGUAAAGGGUCCGUAGGCGGUCCGAUACGUCAGUGGUCAAAUCUCGAGGCUUAACCUCGGGACUGCUACUGAUACGGUCAGACUAGAGCACGGGAGAGGUAAGCGGAAUUGCCGGUGUAGUAGUAAAAUGCGUUAAUAUCGGCAAGAACACCAAAUGCGAAGGCAGCUUACUGGAACGUCGCUGACGCUCAGGGACGAAAGCGUGGGUAGCGAAAGGGAUUAGAUACCCCUGUAGUCCACGCCCUAAACGAUGAAUGCUAGAUGUCGGGAGUAUCGACCCUCCCGGUGUCGGUGAAACAAGUUAACACGUUAAGCAUUCCGCCUGGGGAGUACGGCCGCAAGGCUAAAACUCAAAGGAAUAGACGGGGACCCGCACAAGCGGAGGAGCAUGUGGUUUAAUUCGACGAUAAGCGAGGAACCUUACCUGGGCUUGAAAGACAGCUGCAAACCACCCGAAAGGGAGGUCGCUUUCGAAGGUGCUGUCUAGGUGCUGCAUGGUUGCCGUCAGCUCGUGUCGUGAGAUGUACCGUUAAGUCGGAUAACGAGCGCAACCCCUAUUUCGUGUUGUAUAUCACGAGAGACCGCCCCGGAUAACGGGGAGGAAGGCGGGGAUGACGUCAAAUCAGCAUGGCUCUUACGUCCAGGGCGACACACGUGCUACAAUGGCAAUGACAAAGGGUCGCCAAGCCGCAAGGCGGAGCUAAUCCCACAAACAUUGCCCCAGUUCGGAUUGAGGGCUGCAACUCGCCCUCAUGAAGUUGGAUUCGCUAGUAAAUGCGCAUCAGCCACGGCGCAUUGAAUACGUUCUCGGGUCUUGUACUCACCGCCCGUCACACCAAGAGAGUCGGAAAUACCCGAAGGUCCCGUUAAGGGAACGAAGGUAGAGUCGAUGAUAAGGGUGAAGUCGUAACAAGGCA